CUGAACCAGCUGGAGCUGCUGAGGAACCUCAAGAGUAAAUCUGGACUCGCUUUCAGGAAGGACCCCCCACCGGAGCCGUCUCCAAGUGCUUUAAUCCCUGUCACUGCC
rnacentral:sRNA from 1 species